GGCUCUCCCUUCCAAGCACUGGCCCAGUCUUGCAUCGAACCCCUGUAAACUUUCUGCACCCACAUCAUCUCACAACAAUCUGCUGCCUAUUAUAUGAUGAACCAUCUCCUUUCACUUGCUGUGGACCUGUUUCUGAUUACUUUCCUCUGAUACUCCUAGUUUGUGCGUUGGAUGAGAUGGUUAACAGGCAAUCCCCACCCACCCCUCCAGUCAGCUCGGGAUUUUGUAGACCUCUGUUAAAUUGUCCUGAUCUUUUUUUUUUUUUUUUUUCUAGGCUGAAACUUCCCAACCCAUUUGGUUGUUCCUUAUAUAGAAGCUGUUCCAGACCCGAUAUUGCACUUGUCCUUCUGUGAACCUUUCCCAGCUGUAUUCCUUCUUCUUUGCACUUCUGUAGCUAUGUGGUGACACUAUCCAUGUAACUACCUGGCUGCUUAAAGGGAAUUUAUGUGCACAGUGUGUUGCUGCAGUGACCAGAAUUAGCUGCGUGUUUUGGAGAAGCUGGCCCUUAUUUGCAAAGGCUUUUAUUACAUGAACCUUUUCAGUGAAACUGCAAUUAUUAUGAAUCCUGAAAGAGGACUCUCUGCAGCUUCCAAUUACAAUUCUGGCUGCAUCCAAUUUGAAUGUCAUUUGCUAUUUAGGGAACAUUUGAAAAUGCAUUUUGGGAGGUGUCUUUCAUUUCAUUUAUGGAGGCUAACAUUACUUCUAAUGCUAAAGGAAAUUAAAAAGUGCUUCCUGCUUAGAAUCAAUUAGUUUAAUGAAAAAAAAGUUGGUUGCUAUAUGGUGGCCACAUGGCAGCAUCUCUGUAGAGAGGAAACCAAGGUGGCUGGAUGCAGUGCCAGGGUUGUGUCUGUGCUGCUUUGCAAGUUCAGCUGCACCCAGAACCACUUAUUAUAGCUUUGUUGGAUUCUGAAACAGGAGACACGAGUGCUUGCUGCAAACCAAGCUGGGUCUGCAGUGAGGAACCACCUAGGAAUGGUCAAUAGCUGACACCUGAUGCGAAAGCAGGUACUUUAGUUCAGAUGGGCCAGUUUGGUCAUGUGCCACUUCUUGUCUUCACCUGUUGGGAAUUCAACAACGUGAGGGGGUAAUGAACCAAGAGAAUUUGCUCUGGGGAGCUCUGGUGUCAGGAUCGGGGAAUUUCUGGUUAACCCAGUCACAUGCAUUUCAUUCAGAUCGGGUGCUGACGUGUUGUUUCACCUUUGUUGGAUUAUCCAGACCUCAUGCUGCAGGAUGUAUGUUGGCCGAGGGAAGGAGCUGACCCGGUAUGAAACCUGCUGCUACGUGGUCUGAGCAGACUUGAGCCACCAGCAAGAGUCUGAACUGGGUCAGCACUGUGCACUCCGCAUGAGGAACAGGAUUCACAGUGUCAUCUAACGAUGCCUGAGAGUGCUUUCUUGUGCUUGUGUUUGUAUUCACUCCUUCCUACCUGGAAACAUGCACAAGUAGAUUAAAAAAGCCGCUUAGUGGAGUCUAGCAUUUAGUCAAGUGACUAUUGGCUUUUUUCAAGGGUUCACCAAACUCCACUAAAAAGCAGGUUGUUAUGUGUUAGUCUGGAGCCCUUUCGUUCAGCCUUAGAUGUUUUUUAUUCCCUUUAGGGUAUUUACUGAAAGAACAAGAAGAAAAUAACUCAAGGUGGCACCAUGCAAAAAUUGUAUGUUAAGAAUGAGAGUGUUACAUUUUGGCUUUUCCUGGAACACAAGUGUGAUACCUUGCCCCCUUUUAAGUCAAGUAUCAGUUUAGAAGGAAAGGAAAAAGAAAAGGAAUAAUCCCCUACAUCAAAAUCCCACUAAAAGAAAACAUUUCAAUGCACAUUUUUCCUUCUGUGUUUGGGGGGAGAGGUGGUAAGAGGAGGUUGGGUCAGCAGGACGUGAGGGAAGGCAGCACAUGUGACAGAUGUUAGUCAUGUUGUUGGACACUCAUCCUGCACUCACAUGGCAUCGGUGAGGAUGAGGAGAUGCAGGAAUGUAAACAAAACUGUAAAUAAUUAAUCAUAAUUGAACUCGUUCAUCCAAUAAAGCAUUACCUGAUUAUGCAGCAGAAGUGCUUAUAUUUUUAUUUUUCUAAUUUAAGAUGCAUAUUAUUAAGGAAUAAAGUAAAACAUUUAUUUAAUCUCUGGGAAAUAUUUGUAACUUGGUUUGCAACUCAGAAUCCCAAAAGCUUAUUGUCUGGAAAACUCCAGAAAUAUUUGAAUCUAUUCUUAACUGUACGUCCUGGACCUUUGCCUUGAUUGGGAUGAUGUAUUUAAGCCGAGGGGAGACUAACACAAGCCUGGCCAUGUGUUAUGUACAAUGGAUUUUGCAGGCAGAGAUUUAAUAAGAGAGAUUCAUUAUGUUUUGUUCAAUGGUGCUGUUAUCCAUAUGCUGCUUUUCAAAGCCUGGGUGCUUCCUGAAAGCAUCUCAGCGUACUUUUAGGCUUGCCUGGUGUUUUGAUUUUGCUUGAAAAUGGAGGGCAGAGUUAAGGUUAUUUAUGUUAUUUAACUCUGACCAUAGCAUCUCAUUUGUUUUCCUGACUUGUUUUUUUUCAGCACCACCUCAUUACUGACUCUUCUGGUUUUCAAGAUGAGAGUAUACUGCUUUAUUUAAGGAUAUCUUUUAGUGACUCUGCCGGAAAUGAAGAAGAGGAAGGAUGCGACCUGGAAGAUACGUCCAUAAUGUGGUUCUUCAAAGAGUUCACGACUACCCUGGUACCGUGUGUGGUUUAAAGAGGGAGGAGGGUCUGGAGCAAGGGAGCAAAGCUCACUCCGUUUACACAAAGCAGUGUGACAGUCCCAGCUAACUGCAAGUGUGCCUCUGGGAAUGCAGACAAAGGUGUCACCGUGAUUAAUGGGGCUUUCUUCCCCUGGCUCAGUGUGAACCCAUCUCUCAGUAACGGAUGGAAGGAAUUCAGGGGAAGGAGGUGAAAGAUAACACAGCUUUGACGUGACAGAGAUGAGAAAUUUUGCACUUUGUCAUCGACUAAUGGGAACAAUAGCAGGAAUGAAAGCUGACUGGUUGCUUUUGAAAAGCAGAGGAGAGAAACAACCGACGUGCGAGAUGACAAGAAACAUCUUCCCCUGAAGGCCAAUAUGUGUGUCAUUUGAGCUCGAUGUUCUGGUCAUCUCAGUUAUUUAAGUGGCCUCCAGUCACGAAGAGCUGGAGCAUUGCUGGGGAGCUGCCCGCGUGCUGCGUGAGGACAAAGAUGCUCAGCUGGGAAGACCCUUUUCUUAAGCACGUGCCUGAAUUCGCUGUGGCUCAGACAUGCGCAGCAGCACGGAGACCAGGUGGCCCGGGCCUGGGGUAUCGGAGGGGGCUCCUUGCCCGCCAUGUCCUUGUACACUGGCCUUCAGGAGCUGGGUCAUCCCUUUACACCCAGCAGCUCUCCCUGACCUGCCUGUUGCCCAUGGCAUGCCUCAUCCAGGUAGUCAAGAGCACACGGUCAUCUCCUUACGCUGCUGCCAUGCAUCGCAGAACUGUUCCCUGGGAUUUGCUGCUAGGAUCCCAUGGAGCCUGUGGCACAUUUGCUCCUGAGCUGGCAAUUUGGACUCGUACCUGCAGUGCUGAAGCAUGGGGCUUGCUGUCAGACUCCCCCAGGAAGGGGAAGACGUGUUUGCUGAGAUCGUUGCUGGAGGAAUGAUCCUCGCCAUGGAGCCUUUCCAGGGCACUGCUCUCUGGAAUGCUCCUGGCCCUUGCUCUUCUUGGAAGCUCUGCUGAGACAUCUGUCAGCUCAAGCCCACAGAGGGAGGCCAAGAACUGUAGGUCUUGAAGAGGCCAUUGCACAAUUCCUCCUACUCUCCCAGCCUUGACGGUUUCUCCAGCCAUCCCCUGAGAUCAUUCCACUCUUGAACUGGGAAUGCUGGGAAAGUCAUUUAAAACCAUUACAAGCCGCCGAGAGCCUGCCUGCAGUCCUUGGAGCGUGUGUGAGCCUGCGAGCGUCGUGGCCACUGGGAACACCACAGCAGCAUGCAAAGCGGCGGGACGCAUUCGCUGGGGAAGAAGAAGGUCUUGCGACGAGUGAUGUUCCGGCUCUGAAGUGUUCAGAGUCUGCACAGAGCAAAGGAGACGUUCCCCCAGCCUUGCGGUUGUGCUGCUUUCAUUCUUUUCACUGGGACAGGCUUCCUGAGGAACUACUGGGAGAAAAUCCCCUUGCAACAGGCCGGGGAGCACACCAGGAGCCUAUGAGGUUUCUUGCUGACUUACAGGAAAUCUAAGCUAUGGAAUCAUGGCUGUAUAAUCUGGCCUGGGACCACAGGCUAUGCAGGGAAAGGAGUCUGUGAAUCUUUUCUGAUUGAAGAAUGUCAGGGUGAUGUAUUUUGACUGAAACUGUCAGUUAAAAUGUGAAUUUGGAUGUUUGCAUUUCUGUUCUGCUGAAAAUGUUGAUUAUUUCAGUCUCUCGCCCUUGUUGCAGGAGUGCAGCUCGUGGCAAAGUUCCCUACAAAAUGGCUCUUUUGGCUUAUUUCUAAUCGCACGGCAGUUCAGGGAGAGGAGGACGUGAGCAGAGCCCUCCUCUCUGCUAAUUUCGUUCCACCAGCCUGUCAUCACUUCACAAUUGCACCUUUUUAAAGGUUUUUCUCCCUGCUUUUCUGUGGCUGAGUUCUUCUCCUUAGCUUCUGCCCUGAUUUCUCUUCCCAUCUUUCCCCGCAGUCUGGUGCUGUCACUGGCUGGGAGUCGGGGAAGAUGAGGUAUGUCAAAUGGGGGCAGUGGGGAGGGCAGAGCCUCCGGACUGUGGCUGUCCCCAUGCACAUGCUUGCUCCCCAUCCCUGGCACCCUCCUUGGAGCCAUUCCCACACUCGUGUUCCUUGCUCAAGAGUUGCCAUGGGGUGGAAUGUGCUGAGAGGAGGGACAGAAGCUACGCAUCAGAUUGAGGGAGAGGAGAAAGGAGGGAGAGAGAGCAGGAACACAAAACCACUUCAUCGUAGAAAACACAAAGGGAGGCAAUUUCAAUAAAUGCCAGAUGGUCAAAAUUAACCAGAGACAUGUAGAGCCCUGCAUGUCCAACUGUUUGCUUUGGCAGGCAUUCUUCAGAUUUUCAAACGAGAGUCUCCCAGGCGCCCUUUUCUUCUCCUUGGCCUUCCUCUUCCCCUUUGCUCAUCCUCUGGGCCCCACUUCUUAACCCCACCCUUCUUCUCCUCCCUUGGGUCCGUUUCCAGCCCCUCAUCUCUUGCUGCUGCCCUUGGUUCAUGUUGCACUGCAAAUUGGGUGUAACUUGGGUUACGGUGAGGGGGAACCCGUGCCUGGGAAGCAGUCGUUGUCUUCCACUGAGAAUAAAGGUCCUCGCAGCCUUUAUUUAUUUAUUUAUUUAUUCUUUCAGCCCAAAAGCCAGCAGGAACCCUCGCAGCUCGGCAAGUGGAAGAUCCUGUGCCACUUACCCCGGCAGAGCAGGGGAUGUGGCAGUGCUAAAUUUGGGCCCACAGGAGGACUCAUUCCUCUCGACAAUGCAAUCAGGAGGGCCCUUGUACGCCGCAGACGGAGCGCUCUGUCUAACGGCGGGCUCUUUUGUGCACGCGUGUGCUCUCUGCAUUUGAAACAUUUAUUAUUCUAAAUUGCCUUCUGCACAUUUUACAAUAAUUACGACUAGUGUUUGCCUUGUUAUCUCCACUGUUACUAACAAGAAUGCCAUCAUUAUUCCAGUCAUUAGCAAAAUGGAUGUUGUUGUCCGGAGCUGCCGGCUGUGGGCCUGCUCUCAGAAGGAGUCUCGUGCUCUCCAACCCUGCUUGCUCCAUCUCUCUUGCAGGGGAACAUUGUUGUUCUCAGUAGGUUUGGACCUCAGGGGGCGGAGGGGGGAAUGGAGAUUAUGUGAAGAAGAAUUGGUUUGAGGGAGUGCUGGUGGGUGUCGAGAUUAGCAGCAGUGAGUGCUGGGAAGCUGCUAAUGGCAACAUGCAGCAGGAAUGAGAGAAAAGGCGGCCAUUUCCUGCGCUUCCUCGGCCUUUGGUGUGUCUUAGGCCUGCUCCUGGCGUUACAGUCCAGCAGCUCUCCCUGUAAGCGCAUGGUGCCUGGAUGGGGAGAGAUGCUUUUGCUCAGACAAUGGAUCUUGCAGGUGAGGGAGGAAAGGCUGGAAUUAAGCUGACAGCACUCAGCUGCUGUAAGGUGGGCCCAGCGCUUUGCAGUGCCACUGCCUGUGCAAGGAAGGCAACUCCUGGCACCUGUCUCAUUAGCAGUCGGAUCGCCCAGCAGAUAUUUGGGUUGUGCUGGGUUUCCUCUGACAAAGUCAAAACAGGUUGCGGGGGGUUAAAUUUUUUUAAUGUGAGCACUUCUUCCGUGGGCUCCCUCCCAAGAAUUUGACAACCCUGAAACAUUCAGGAAUUUGUUUGGAUUUUGCCCAUUUCAGGGAAGGAAAGAGGAAGGGGUUUUUAACCAAAAAGAUCCUGUUUGACCUUGAAGCCUUCCAUUAUGUGUUCUAAUUAAAAUGGAGAACUUCAAGUUUCAAAUCUCAUGUACCUUUUUAUGAAACCUGACAAAAAUGUUUA